ensembl:lncRNA
GGGUUUAUUGAACGAAUGCACAUUCGGGUGUCAGCAAUAUCGGGAAAGCUGCAUAACCCAGCAAGGGUUACAGGCUUCUUAUAUAGGAAAAAAACCACAGAUCAGCAUACAGGCAAGGGGCGCAAAGUGAUUGAUUACAAAGUAUGAUCUCAUGUUAGAGUGGUCACCCAGGUGUGACCUGCUUUUUUAUAAAGGAAAAACCAUAGAACGUACCCUGAAAAGUCCUUGAUUGUCUGUUGGCCAGCCAGGUGUGACCCAAAAAGGAUUGUCUGUCUGCCCUCGGGUUGGGGCCAACUUCCUUGUCCUGGGCCAAGGCCUGUGGGAAACUUUUUCUCUCUGUGAACUUUCAAAACUUUCAAAACUUUUUCUCUCAGCAAACUAAAAUCUUUCAAUGCCAUUCUCAGUUAACUCUCUCUGCCUCAUGCUUGUGGAUCAAGAUGUAAGCUCUCAGCUAUUGCUCCAGCAUCAUGUGCUCAUCUCACUGAGUGAGAAUAAGACCACUACCACAAUUUUAAGUCAAAUUUAAAGCAAGGACCAUGGAUACUGGCCACGUCCAUACCUGGUAUUCCCAGAGUAUGGCCCCGAAUUACAUUAGUCAGAGGUUUAUAAAGGCAAACCCCACAAGUCUAUGUACUUCACACCUCCGACCAAUCAGGGACAAGCACACAUCCUGAUGUACUCCUGUCUAUGUAACUCCUGCCUACAUGUAAUCAAGCACACAUGUUGUGCAAUUGGUGCACCCAUGUUUGUUUACAUAAGUGAAAACACUACACUUGGUAUCUUACAUGAACCCCCAGCAUUCUACCUGUCCUUCGAUGAGUGGGACUUACAGGCUAGAGGCAUUUUUAUCUUACCUAUGUCUUAAGCACAGUGAUUUAUUUAUUUAUUUAUUUAUUUAUUUAUUUUUAGCACAGUGAUUUAAACUUAACAUAUAACUUUGGCCAUCACACCCUCCCAACCCCAAGUUAUAUCCUGAGUCAAAUCCUUGUCUCUAUGGUGGGUACCUGUUUAACAAUCAUCAGCUUCAUGGUAGCCAGACAGGGAUUUCUGUAUCUAGUUAAGGCAUUAAUGAUACAAGGGUCAACAGUAAUUAGCAGAAAUAGAAGGGCCAAAGGCCCUGUGAUGGCUGACAUCAGAGUCACCAUCUAAGAGGAGCCUGAAAAUCAGAAUGAGAACCAGUCAUUAAUUUCAUUUCUUGUCCCAUUUUUUUUUUAGUACAUCCAGAUUAUCUCUAAUUAUUCCCAAGUGAUUUGCAUAGAAAUGAUUUUUCCCUGGGCAGUGGUGGCACACACCUUUAAUCCCAGCACUCAGAGGGCAGAGGCAGGUGGAUCUCUGUGAGUUCAAGGCCAGCCUGGUCUACAAAGCUAGAGAAACCCUUUCUUGAAAAACAAAAAAAAAGAAAAAGAAAAGAAAAAUUUCUUCUUAAAGCCAUACGAUAACCUCUUCUUUUACAUAGAGCAGACUGGGUCUCCUAUCAUGUUACAGAACUAUUUCAGGUAAUGAACCUACUUGUUGAUAGAUCUGGGUCUAUUUGGGUUUCUUUUUUUGUUUUUUGUUGUUGUUUUGUUGUAGUGUUUUGUUUUUGUUUUUGUUUUUUUUGAGACAGGGUUUCUCUGUGACUUUGGAGCUUGUCCUAGAACUAUCUCUUAUAUAGGUAGCCAUUUUGUCCCCUAUGCCAGGGAGUUUCCUUCUGAAGUACACUCCAGCCUUUUGUUGAGGACAAGCAGGAACAUAUUCCCUUCUGUAACUGGUUCCUGAUAACAUUAGGAUGUCAUUGUCAGGGCCCAGGAAGGCUGGACAGUUAGUCAAAGGCCAGGAGGGGAUUCAGGUGGUGGGGCAUUCUGGGAAUGGAGCAUUCAUCAGAAGCAUCUGGUUUGCUGACCCAACUGAAGAGACAGGGAGCAAUCACAUCAGGUGGACUGGUUCACAUCAGCUUUGAGCAAGCCCAGGGCUCACAGUCGUCUGGAACAGUUUGCUGUCUGCAGCUGAUUCUUGAAUGGUAUCUGGUAAGUGAAAACUUGCUGAGACAGAUAUAGACUAGGGACAGAAAUUAAAGUUUAGGAACUUGAAGGAGAUCUUGCAUUUGUAACUUCCAAGCCCGUGUUCCUGGUAGUUGGGGAAGGGGAGGAGUCCCAAGACCAGGAGAAAGACAGCAAAAUCCCACACUCAGGAAUAGGCAGGUGGGAAACUUAGACAGUUGGUUGACAAGAGUACUUAUCCGGAGUCCAUUUGAUCUGUGAGAGGUUGAUCCAAGUCUUACAACUCCCUCAACUCCCUGAAGCUUACAUGAAUUGUUUUAGUUUACAAGAAUAGAUAAAAGGUUUUAGAUAGUUUAAUGGUGGUAUACCUUUAAUCCCAGUACUUAGGAGUCAGAGGCAGGCAGAUCUCAGUAAGUUUGAAGCCAGCCUGGUCUACAAAGUGAGUUCCAGGACAGCCAGGACCAUUACACAGAGAAACCCUGUCUUGAAAAAAAAAAGUUUUAGAUAUAUUAGUAUCACCAGUGUUUGUAGUCUGUUCUGAAAUACACAUUGUAGAAAAAGCAGCUAACAGGUGUCUGUAAAACAUCUGGAACAGACUCACGCCUUGGAAUCAUUUUUUAAAAAAAGCUAUGGCUGCUUGGGGUUAAAAAGCAUGAACACUCUUUUCUCUGUUCAAAGAGCUGAAUAUAUGGAUUGAAUAGAGAUGUUUUUGCCCGAUUAGAAGCACCUUUAACUCUAUACUUAGAAGACAACAAAAGGAAAUUUGGAGUUUUGAGCUUGUGACUAAUAACAGCAGUCGUUUUUCCCAGCAUAUCAGAACAUCAUUAAUCAACGUUAGAACUCUGAACAUUUGAAAGAUUAGUAUAACCAUGUAGCAUAGAGAAGGAAAGAAAUCUGAAACAUGUUUCAUAUACCUUAAAUCACUUCCUUAGAUCUUUAGAACUUACUUAGGCUUUCGCAUCCUCAGACCUUUAAACACCUUAGAGCCCUUUCUUAGAUCAUCAGAACUUAUAUAGACUUGAAGCUGUUUUUUUUUUUUAAUCCAGUGAGACACAGGUGGUUGAUUAUUGAGAACAGUUAUUUGCAAAGCAAGUUCCUUUAAAUAAGGGAAUAGUAAAAAUAACAUCUGAAACCCGGUUUAUCCUUUAAAUAUGAAGUCUGUAAAUUUGUCUUUUUCAUCAUGAAAUGUAGCAGCUAUAGAAAAGCAAGGCUGGAUUCCCAUUUAUGAUAUGUACUGACCAGGCAGCUGCAACCUGUUGGGGAGAAGCUAGGUGCCUUCCGCUGCCAAACUGACAAAGCUACAGUUAGCCUUCAACACCAUCAGAGAUCUGAGGAUAAAUUAUAGCAGGAAAUAUAAAACAAAUGGCCUCUGUAUUGACUAAAAUGACAGAGACUUACCAGCCAACUGUACUAUUACCCUAGUAGGCUGCUGACCCGUCUCGCAGGUCCAGUCAUUCAGGGUUCAGAAGGGGGGCUGCCUGAAAGAGUAAUGGGCGAGAGAAAGAAAGGAGACCAAGCGGCACGAGAAAGGACAAGAGUCCGUCUGUGCAAUGUCAAGGUCUCGAUUUAUUGGGGCUUAGAGCGGGCUUAAAUAGUCCUGCAACAAUAGAAUUGGGGGGAAUAAUAGAAGGAACAUCAGGUAUUUGCUGGGACUGGAACAUUCUUCUUAUCAGCCGGAACAUCUAGUGGUCUUCCUUGGAACAGCGAACAGAAAAGCACCAGACCCUUUCUCGGAACAGAAGCAGUUAGCAGUUCCGCUUGGCCAAACCGUAUCUAAUUACAGGUUCCAGGAGGCUCACAGAGCUGGCUUUAAGCCGCAAACUUAAAGGUCAUUAAAAGGCUUACAAAGGUGGGCUUUAAGCCGCAUAGUUUUGGGCCCACGGCCCCUUACAGGCUGCUGUGGUCUCAAUGGCUUCAAUGUGGGGCGGAGGUCAUAGGUCUCUGGCUGUUAAGCAGGAUAGCAGUACAUCUUUAACUGCUGCACAGGACACCACAGGCCUUCAACUGAUGGACACAGAAGGUCUGAGACUUCCCUAUGGAUGAAGAACUUGGGAAAAAGACCUUGACUUAGGCAGAGUGGGGCAAUCAACCCAGCAAUGUCCACAGUUUCUGCAGGACCCUGGAAGCAGGUGAGGCAUGGAGAAGUUUUUUCCCAGUGGUUAGUGUCACCACAAUCCAGGUCUGCGCCCCAUCUGUCUUCUUUGAAGACCUUAGGGUUGCCUCUAGGAGUUGCCAUUUCUGUCUACCACAGGGAGUUUUUUCCAUUAAACAUUUUAAAUGUCAUGUUCAGCAGCUCUCUGAAAAAGUUUUGAGGACCAUCUAUUAAGUAUGCCAGAUUUUAAGUAAACUUUGUUUUUAGCUAUUUGCUUUAGUCCUAACCAUGAAAACACAUACAGGAGGCUAAGCAAAACUUAUUCCUGUAAAUAAAUUACAUUUGUACUUAGCGUGACUACCAUAAAGAAUUUGAUCAUUUAUAAGGUGACUGACCAUUAACUUGCAUGUCAUAAUCAUCUUUGACAGUUCACAGUAAGUUUAAUAGCCUUUAUAUGAUUAGGAUUUGCAUUUUUAUUCCUGCUAUGUUUAGCCUUUAAAAAAAUAACUAUUUUGAAUUGAAGCUCUCUUAGUAUCAAAUAAAACUUUAAAUCAUAAAUAUUGUCCAUAGGGAGAUUGGCAACUUUAUCCUGUUCCUUUCAUAGUGCACUAUCACAGAAUAUAACUGUUUCUUGUAUGACUCAGUUUAUCAAAGUAGCUAAAGCUUAACAAAGUAGAAAAGACAAGGAGGCUAGACACACAAUCUGAAGUCAGGCUCUGUUGCCUGAAUAGAUAGACCUUUGGGAAAGAGAGACAUUCUAUAGGCUCUUAGCCAGGCUGUUUAAGUCAUUAUCUUGCUGCAUCAUAAGGCAGGAAUAUCCCAGUUUCUGGUGGUUAGUAUUUGGUGCUCAUAGCUGUGGCCCUAACUCUUUAGCAUUUUGUCUUCUUAAGUCACAUACUAAUAAAGACAUCAUAAUAUAAAACAUAAACAUAUAAUGUCCCAUAGUCUCAUACAUUUAAAUAUUCUUUCAAACUCCAGGAUUUUUAUUGAAACUUUUUAAAGACUCUGGAAUUUCCUUUCUAAAAUGGCUUAAAUAUUCUCAACUGUGAGGCUCCUACAAUAUCAAAGACUGAAUUAAGUCGCUGUUUUACUUCAAGAGGGAAGAAGCAGGGCACAGCCACAGUCUGGACAAGGCAAAACCAAGUUCCAACAGUGCAAACAACUCCAUGCUCAACAUCUGGGAUUCACUCAUGAUGCUGUGUGGGCUUCCUCAAGGGGCUCAGGUCAUUUCUCCGGCUACCUGGGUGACUUUUACAUUACAAGUUCGGCUGCCAGCACAAGGUACAUUUCUUGUGUCUGAACACAUGGGGAAGGAGCUUUAAGACCGCCUUUAAUCCCAGCUCUCAGGAGGCAGAGGCAGGCAGAUCUCUGUGAGUUCGAGACCAGCCUGGUCUACAAGAGCUAAUUCAGGACAGCCUCCAAAGCCACCGAGAAACCCUGUCUCGAAAAACCAAAAAAAAAAAAAAAAAAAAAAAAAAAAAAAAAAAAAAAAAAGAAGACCUUAUUAAACAAGGGUUGUUUUUAAGUCCUAUCUUUCAUGAACUGUGUUUUUAUGACUUUGUUUUUAGGACAAGAUUAUACAAAAAUCCAUCCUAAUCCAAAAUAUCUUGGGAACCUGUUGCUACCUCCUUAGUAGGUUUAUACCACCUGGUCACCUUUAAUCAAAAUGGUGGUAAAGUCACAUGGCAUCCAAACCGAUCCAGGCCUAGCAAUCGUGUUUGCCAGCCAUGUGACUGCCUCCAUCCUGAUGGGGGACACUAGUCAGGGACCUAUAAAGUCAAAACGCACAGGUCUAUAUAUGUCACAGCUUUGUCCAAUCAGGGACAAGCACACAUCCUGGGACACACUUCCUUCCUAUGUACCUUCUGCCUACAUGUGAUCAAGCACACAUCCUGUGUAAUUGGUGUGACCACACUUGUUUAGGGAAGUGAAAACACUGUACUUGUUAUCCUCUAUGAAACCCCAGCAUUCCAUCUGUCCUUUACCAGUGGGACUUGGAGGCUAGAGACAUUUGGUCUUAUAUAUAUCUUAAGUACAGUAAUUUAAACUUAAAAGAUAACUUUAGCAACCACACACGCUCAGCAGCGUGCUGCCAUGCUCUCUACUGGAGUCUAACCCUCUGCAACUGUAAACAUCCAAAUGAAAUGCUUUUUAAAAUAACUCUUCUUGGUCAUGGUAUUUUGUCACAGCAGUAAAAAGAGAUUAAGACAGGCUCACCCCUAUAUUUGUGGCUAUAGGGUCCCUGAAUCCAUGUUUGUUUGAGAAAAACCCUAUUUUGGAAAUGACUUUCAUAUUUUUUGUCUGCUACAUGUAGACACAAGUUUCUGUGAAGGGACCAGCUCCCCCUUUUGGCAGCCAUGACAGUAACAUGUGCUUGCCAUGACCUUGUCCUAGUCACUAGAAGUCAGAUGCCUGCCUCGUGGCAAAGAACCAAUCAGAAGUUAGCUGGCGGCGCUAUGCUUUACAGCUCUGGGUGUGCUUUACAGACAAGCACACAGCAAUGAUGCGCAGAGCAUAGCAACCACCCUGGGAGGGCCUGUGGGCCAUAACAACCAGUUGGCCAAUCAACACAGGGCAAGCCCUCCAAGCCUGGAGGCACACCAAUCCUGAGCCUGUGCGUAUCCCUAGACACUCCCCUUACGCUGCCCUACAAGACCUAUACAGCCAGUUGGAGCUGUCUUUCUUAGCCAUCUGCCAUGGUGGGAAGACCCGAGAUAACAUGGGGUUAGCUCCUUAAACAACUAUAAAGCCUCAUGCAGUUUGCAGCAAGUUUUUGAAUCUGCCUGGUGAUUGGGGUGACUGAGGUCCUGGGCUGGGACCCAGGAGGCCUGAGCUUUCUGGGGGUCUAACAUCUGUCCUACCUGGUCCUGCAGCUGUUUAGUCCCAAAUCAACACAUAGAGACAUAUUAAUUAUAAACUGUUUGGCCAGUUGCUCAGGCUUCUUACUGGCUAGCUCUCUCUUAUUUAUUAACCUAUUUUUAUUAGUCUGUGUAUCUCCACGUGGUCUUGACUUACCAGUGAUGGCUGGGUCUCUGGCUUCCUCAGCAGCUACAUGGUGCCUACCUGACUCUGCCUACUACCUUUCUCUAUUCCUGCCUGGCUAAAUCCUGCCUGUCCAUUGGCCAAAACACCUUUAUUUAUCAAUCAAUAAGAGAAAUAUAUAUUCGCAGCAUACAGAAGGACAUCCCCCAUCAGCUACAGGCAAUAAAUCCUUUUUGAUUGUGCUCAUUUUGGCUUGUGGUUGGUCACCAAGAUCUGAGCUCCCAUUGUUCUCUCAGUUAGUGUUAAGUUACUUUGCCAAAAUGGGAGGAGGAGAGGUAGGGUGACUCUACGAACUCUUAACACUUUUUUUUUUUAAAAUCUUUGUGCAAUUUGCCUUAACUUUAAAUUAAAUUGAAGACUGUUUUACAGAAGGGGUGGUCACCUCUUAUAUACCAGGAAGUAAUAGAGAGAUUGCUGUCUCUGGUCUAGCAAAACAACACAAGUGCCUCAGCCUUUUAACCUUGCUCAGUGUGUCACUAUGGGACAGAUUAGGGAAGCUUGACCUUCCUUCCCUAGGGGAUAUGCUAUCUCUCUGCAAAGGCAUUCAUCUAGAAGUUAAAUACUGGGUAAAGUUCACUGGGGGGAAAAGGAUUUAAUGUUACUUAGAUCUUGAAGGAGAAUGAGGACAUGGCUGCUCCCAGGUUUUGUUGAGGAGAUUUUUAUUGUAGCUAUGAGGGAGAGUACAGCCAGAGGCAUCUGGAAGGGUCCAGACUGAACUGGGCCAUCAGAGGAAAGGGGGCGGGGAGGAGUGGGAGAGGGAGAGAGAUCAGAAGAGAGAGGGCAGGCAGACCAAGAGCCCAUUUACCUAGGAAUGAGAAGCUGGGCAAAGGGAAUGGAAACCCAGCCCCUGGACAGGAGAGAGUAGGGGGUGGGGUGAAAAGGACUGGGAGGAGUCACAGGUACUGAGUGAGCCUUGUCCUAGGUUUCUUUGAGAGCUGAAAGAUCUGUUACAAAGACUAAGAAAUCUCUCUGUGUGUGCCUCUGUCUCUCUCUUGUUUUUUUUGUUUUUGUUUUUUUGUUUGUUUGUUUGUUUUUUUGUUUGUUUUGUUUUUUUUGAGACUGGGUUUCUCUGUAUCUUUAGAGACUGUUCUGGAACUCAUUUUGUAGACCAGGCUGGCCUCAAACUCAUAGAGAUCUGUCUGCUUCGGCCUCCCAAGUGCUGGGAUUACAGGAGUGUGCCACCGUUUGCCAGCAGAAGAGUCUCUCUCUUUUAAACAACUGAAACUGUGAGUGAAGAACUUUUGUUGAAAUGACCGAAAGUAAGGGAAUAAAAAGCCAGAUCCCAGAGCCAUUACUGUCAACCUCACAACCCCAUACCGUUUAAUACUGAAAAAUCAUAUAUGCGUAUUUAUUGUGUCGGGAAGGCACAUGUGCCAAAGCACUCGUCAGAGGUCAGAAGACAAUUGUGGACUCUGCCUUCUCUUUUCUUUCUUUUUUUGGUUUUUCGAGACAGGGUUUCUCUGUGUAGCUUUGGAGCCUAUCCUGGCACUUGCUCUGGAGAUCAGGCUGGCCUCGAACUCACAGAGAUCUGCCUGCCUCUGCCUCCCGAGUGCUGGGAUUAAAGGCUUGUGCCACCAACGCCCGGCCUGCCUUCUCUUUUCACCAUGUCAGUUACAGGGAUCAAACUCAAGUUAUCAGGCUUGGUGCCAAGAGCCUCUACCUGCUGGACUUUCUCCCAUUCCACUCCACUUACUUUUGUGGAAACUACAGGUGCUGGCAGCCAGGCAGUUCCUUCUUCUGGUGGCUCCUGCUGCCUUAAGUGCCCACAGAUACUUGAAGAGACUUGGUUUCAGCAGUACAGGCUGCAAGGAAAUUUCCAGAAAGUCACAGAAACCCUGAUAGUCCUUGCAUAUUUCCUACAGAAACCACUUCAUCUGUUUCAGAGCAAGGUCCCCAUGACGACAACAGCAGCCUAAGGCUGGUCUAGGACAGCCACCACCACUCCAGAGGGUUAUCUUAGCA